UUUUGAGGCCAUGGUGCUCC
rnacentral:piRNA from 1 species